AUGAGGUAGGUGCAACUAUUAAAAAUGUAAAACAAGAGUUAUAAAUAUGUAAAAUAACAUUUAGAAAGCGAUCACGUGACGCGCGGCUAGCCACUGCACCUCAACUAGAUGAAGUCAUGACUGUGCCUCGAGUGUCCCUUUAAUAUACUGAGAAUAAGAGGGAACAUGCUCUUAUUCCUCCACUCACUGCCCAGCGUUUUAGUGGUAAAAAUAACUAGUGACUAGGCAGCUAUUGCUGCCCAGUUGAAAAGGGUCCCAUCCUAUUAGCGGUGGAAUGGGGGUUGUAAAUGAAUGGGGGGAGACAUGGCACUGAUCCUCCCCAUGGUCAUUGGGACAUAGCCGCAUAG